rnacentral:rRNA from 1 species
UUUCGUAAUCGGUUCCACUCAACGUGAUAAGUAUUUCGUUGAGGACAGUUGCAGCAAUGCGGCUGGCCGGGAUAAGAAAGGCAUAGUUGUCAGCUUCUAAUCGCCCUUGGGCAAUUUUUUAUGAUCUGGCCUCAAAUCAGGUAGGACUACCCGCUGAACUUAAGCAUAUCAAUAAGCGGAGGAAAAGAAACUAACAAGGAUUCCCCUAGUAACGGCGAGUGAAGCGGGAUGAGCUCAAAUUUAAAAUCUGGCGGUCUCAGAUCGUCCGAGUUGUAGUCUAGAGAAGCGUUUUCCGUGCUGGCCUGUGUACAAGUCCGUUGGAACACGGCGUCAUAGAGGGUGAGAAUCCCGUCCUUGACACAGAUCUCCAGUGCUUUGUGAUGCGCUCUCAAAGAGUCGAGUUGUUUGGGAAUGCAGCUCAAAAUGGGUGGUAAAUUCCAUCUAAAGCUAAAUAUUGGCGAGAAACCGAUAGCGAACAAGUACCGUGAGGGAAAGAUGAAAAGCACUUUGGAAAGAGAGUUAAACAGUACGUGAAAUUGUUGAAAGGGAAACGAUUGAAGUCAGUCAUGCUUUCCGAGACUCAGCCGGUUCUGCCGGUGUACUUCUCGGUUUGCAGGCCAGCAUCAGUUUUGGGCGGUGGAAAAGGUUGGCGGGAAUGUGGCAUCCUCGGAUGUGUUAUAGCCCGCUUUCGAAUACAUC